rnacentral:rRNA from 1 species
UACGAAGGGGGCGAGCGUUGUUCGGAUUUACUGGGCGUAAAGGGCGCGCAGGCGGUUCUGUUUGUCGAGUGUGAAAGCCCCGGGCUCAACCUGGGAACUGCGCUCGAAACGGCGGAACUAGAGUUCGGGAGAGGAGAGUGGAAUUCCCAGUGUAGAGGUGAAAUUCGUAGAUAUUGGGAAGAACACCGGUGGCGAAGGCGGUUCUCUGGGCCUGUACUGACGCUGAGGAGCGAAAGCGUGGGGAGCGAACAGG